AUUCGGAAAGCUGCCUGAACACAGCCGGGUCACGAGGAAGCAUUCUAUGUACACACUCCACAGCGCUGGUGAUGGCAGGCAAGCUGGUUUGCUCUGUUGCCCCUGUCCACAUGAACACAUGCUCUUCAAAGCAAACUAAUUUCUGAGCAAACAGCUUCACAGAAGGCAGCAAUCUGUGAUGUGACUGGCUGAGUUGGAGGACUGGGUCCUGCCAGCAGUGAGGACCACCCUGUUUGGACGGCCUGAGAGGUGUACCUGCUGUUGUCACAGCCUGCUCAGGCACUGAGCAUUACCCAUGGCUGGCCCUUGCUGCAAAAGCAUCCCUCGAAGCCUCAAGGUGAGCCAGUAGCUACUCAUGUGCGCUGCCAUGGUCAAGACCAACUCUCUGGGCUUGAAGGUGCCACAUAAACCACUACCAGUAGCAGGAGACCUGUUUAGGUUCCCCUGCACAGCUCUGCUACCUCUACAGGAAACCCCACUUUUCUUCCUGCAUAAAGAGAGCUUCUGCCAGCCAGAACUACCUUUCAAUUUACAGUCACAGCUUUCUUCCUCACCAGCAUCAGGCAGAGGAGAGAGUAAGUAAACUGGAAUGCUGCCUUUGGAUGCUGUUACAGAGGUUAAGUGAAGCUCUUCUACAGUGCUCCUCCUGCCUUCCUGCUGGUAGUCACCACAGCCUUUGCUUCCAACUGUAGAAUCAUGAUAUAGCAUUAAAUACAUACAACUGCACACCAUUAACUGGAAACAUUCUUUUUCAUUCAGCUGAUCUGGGUACUUGCAAGUGGGGGAGAGAGGCAUCCUGUCAGCGAGGUUUCCAGGAUGAUCGUUGCUGUUGUACGGUGACCUGCAAUAAGAUGUGUUUGUUCUCCAGUGGCGUAAGUGGCAUUUGCCCUGCAGACUCUGGCAGAGGACCUGACUGUCAGCAUUGUACCAGCUGUAUCCUGACCUAGGUAAAACGUAAAUUGCAAAACAGACUGGCUGCUAAAAUGAUGAAAAUCACUUCAUGUGCUGUCUGUGCUUCAAAAGCUGGCAGGCCUACGAACUCAGAAAUGCUGACAAACAAACCUGUUUUACCUCCUGAAGCCAAGUGCUUUUCAACACAGUCAAAGAGAGCUUUGCUGACUGAUCUCAGGUGUGGGCCGCUUCCUGUGUGGGUCAGCAGAUAAAGCAGCAGACUGAGCUGGAUCUAUAGCAGUGGUGCUUCCUCAGGUGCCAAGCUGGGGUAAAAUACAUCUCAUUGCCUUGUUGUCUUGAAAGCCACAUAGAACUGAACCCUGAGUAAUAAAAUGUCUUUAAUGCACUCAAGCAGAAGCCUGCAACCCACAGCAGUGUAGGUACUGAUGCUGCCUACAACACUCAGUUUCAGGCAUAUUUAUUAUAUUGUGGUCCAUCACCUAUGAUAUGCAAGAAGUGCAUACCAUAUACAGGAGAUAUAGUUUAUUUACAUCAUCUGCAGUGGGUUGGUUACUGGUCUGACUGAUAUACAUUGGGGAGAAAAUGGCUUUUGGUAAUGUUUUUCCUGGGUUUGAUGGGGCAAAAGAGGGGGUCCAGAGUAAUCACAUGUUAGAGAAGAAGGCUGCACGUAUCCCUAUUGCACAGGUCCCUACCCCAUACCUGUGGCAUAUCUUGCAUCUCAAGAGGUGGGUUUUCCUUAGCUUUGCUGAGGAUGUGCUGACUGCUGUGUUUUCCUCCUAUUCCCCCACCUGAGGACAGCCUGACAAGUGAUGGUUGGUCACACUGGUAAGACAAGGAAGUGGGUCAGACAAAAGAAACCAAGAGGAAAAGCAGCAAAACAACAGGGGUGGUUAACAGCUGGCCUUGUGAAGUCCACAUGGCCUAAGGGUACAAGAACACUGCCAAAAACACAUUAUCCAAGAGUUUUAACACAAUUUAUUUUAUGCUUAAAUAAUCAACUAGAUCAUCCAGUGUUUGUUGUUUUCAUACAUAUGUAAUUAGAGCUAUUAUCAAUGAAUGCUGUUUCCAUAUGAAUAUAAUCAACAAAUUAAAGUAUUUCACCAAAACCCAAAUAAAAAUGCCCUUUAAAACACAGCAGCCUUAACAACCUAAUAUUACACUGCUAGGAUGAUUACAGAUGAUUGGCUUACUGAAAGAUUCUACAUCUUAUAGCCAGUACACAAUACAGUAAUAAUUUUACAGCGUGCUGCCAGUCUAUUAGCUAAUAAUUUCUCUUGAGUUCAUUUAAAAAUAUCCCAAACUUUUGCUCCUUAGAGCACCAACCCACUUCUAAAGCUGCAAGCAUUACCCCCGUUAUAAAGCGAGAACAGAUAGCACCCCCCUCCCCAUAAUGCAACUACUGUAUAUGUUAUGGGGUUUAGGUCAUUUCAUUGAAAAAUUGGCAACAGCAACAAAUAUUAGAUGAAGGGCUUUGUGUUUACAGAUAAAAUCUUAUUUUUCAUGUUGCAAUAUAGUGUUUGCAAAACUGGAAAAGAUUUAAUCAAAAUAAGGUGAAACACAUGCAUCAAAAUAUUAGUACUCUGAAGAAAAAUUUUCACAGAACUACAGAAUUCCUCAUUUUGGGAAUCAUUUAAAUUUGCAGCAGAUUUUAAAGAUUUUUUUAAAAUCAAGCUAGCGUUUUUGCAUAUACAAACAUUAUAAUUGCUAAUAUACAAGAAUCUGUGAAGAUACACCCAGAAUAUCCCUGUAGGUGCAGCCAUUUGAGACACCUAGCCUGCUCAAUGCAUUUGCAAUAUUCUGUUUGUGAUCGAAAAGGCAGUGCCUUAUCAACAUUUAUUCUAUUUUGUUAGAAUUUAUACAGUGUCAUUUAUUUACAGCAAAACUAUUGAUGUUUAAAAAAGAAACAAAUAGUGUUUUAUACCCUGACAGUUUGGGUCCAAGAAAAAUAAGGCGAGCUGUUCUGGAUUUUAGUAAUUUUAGUGUCUUUCCAUGGUUUAACCAUUUCGUCUUCAUACAUCCCCUCGGGCCACAGGAAUUUAUUUCUUUUGAGAUGACAUCAAACUGCUUGAAAGAAGCUGUUAACAGCAUGGCAUCUUGUAUAUACACUGCAUCGGUAACUGCGCACCCUCCGAUUCUGUGAAUGAAUGUGAAUUUCCAUGCUCUGUAAAUUGGCUCAUGCUAACUUAAUUUUUUGUUUCUUUUUUCUUUUUUUUUUCCUUUUUUUUUGUUUUUGCAUAAAACCCAUGCGGUUAAUGUGUGGAAGCAGCAAACACACGCACACUUUUAUAGGUGAAUGUUUAAUUCCUGUUGAUUCCUCUUCCAUGAGUGUCUCUCUAGAAUACUGGCAGUAAAAGCACACAGUCCUAUGGAAAAAAAAGAUGGCACAUAUCAUUUCAGAAUACCUCAUUAGAAUCCAUUUCAUGCCUUUUCCUGACUAAACAGGAAAGUUCUAAUUGGCAUUGUGGAGUUCUGCAAUAGGAUAAAUCACACAAUUUCUAGGUAAGUAGGGACAUCAGUGGAGCUCCUGGCAUGAAGAGAAAACGCAGCUGCAGAUGUCCAUGUUGCUCGUGAACUGAUUUACAAAUAUGUUUGCAACACUCUGCAUUUCAUCACCCCAGACAAAGUACCAGCUCAUCAGAUCCAAUGAUGACAAGGAAUAGGUUCUGUCUAUAGUGGAAAAAAUAUCAUGCUUCCCAGAAUGAGAACACUGCUGCUUUCACAGCACAUUUUUGUUUAUUGUGCACAAUCAUCCCCGCAGUGGUGAGAAAACCUGCACUCCUUGCACGUCCACCUCUGCCAGUUGCUUGGGAAACAUGACUGGGAGAGCUAGGAAUGUGGAGUCCAGCCUUUAGGAGGCUUGGUGAAGGACAAAACGAGGAAGAGGAGCAGCCCCAUCCAUCUCCUGUCUGGCUUGUGUGAGUGGCACCAAGGGACAGGGAGUUCAGCUCCUGCUCUCUCGCCUACCCAAGAACAGUCGUGCAGGCACACAGGUAUGGAAGGCAAGUUAGUCACAUCUGUUGUACAACAGUGAUGUCUUGCAGCAAGGAUGCAGGAAGCAGAAACAGAAACACACCAGCAAAGAGAGCUGGAAGACCUGCAGGCUCCCCAGCACCUGGGCACUGUUUGGAUGUGUGUCUUGUGCAGCGCCUGCAGAAUUCAGGCUGGCAUGGACAUGCCUGUUUAUUAAUCAGGUCACAGGUCCACACACACUUCCCAGGAGUGCUCACACUGUCCCUCUAUGCUAAAACAAUCUAUCCUUGUAUACAUCUAUGGCCGCCAUAAAUCUAUCCUGUUGCUAAAAGCUGCCUGUUCACAUUGCAGUAGUCACGCCAGCUAGCACUGUGCUAGCAGAAUUGCAUGCAAAAGUGCUUGGCUUUUUGUUUCAACCUGUAUUUUACAAUGGGUUUAUUUGCAAUGGUGACAAAGAUGUUUUACAGCAAAAUCUAGCUAAUAUUGUGGUAUUUUCAAACAUUCAAAAGAAAAGCAACACCAAUGCCUCCCAAACAAGAUAUUUUUUUCUCUUUUGUGAUCAAGAAACAAACUGGUUUUCUGUGACAAUCUCUUCUCUGCAAAUACAUCUACUCAUGUGGUCAAAUAAAAUGUUUUAAAUAGACUCUUGACUUUACUCACAACUACUUAACACACAUUUGAUCAUGUUUAUCAUAUCAAAGUUUGGACCACUGAGAUUUGUCUUAAAGGAUAAAGUUUCCCGCUGAUCAAAGGUUUAUUAUGUAAGGAAGACUAUCCAAGUUUCUCAGGGGCUCUAGCACAGAAAAGUUGCCUACUGGAAAUCAGAGGAGAAAUGCAUCAGUGGUCAUGGGAGCAAAUGCGUUUCUGAAGAACUCAGACUGUGGCUUUCUGAAGGCCAGAAUAUGUUUCACAUAUUAGGCAAGGACUGCCUUAUUAAUGCCAUAUGGUGUUAAAAUUAAAUGUUUCUCCCUUAUA